UACGGGGGGAGCAAGCGUUGUUCGGAUUUACUGGGCGUAAAGGGCGCGUAGGCGGCCAGCACAAGUCAGUUGUGAAAUCUCCGGGCUUAACUCGGAACGGUCAAGUGAUACUGUCGGACUAGAGUACAGAAGGGGCAACUGGAAUUCUCGGUGUAGCGGUGAAAUGCGUAGAUAUCGAGAGGAACACCUGCGGCGAAGGCGGGUUGCUGGGCUGAUACUGACGCUGAGG
rnacentral:rRNA from 1 species